rnacentral:lncRNA from 1 species
AAUUAGCUAAACAAAGAAAUCAUGGCGGAUUGUUUACAUUUGGCAGCGCCCGGGCUGCGCCGACCGCCGGCCCCGAGCCGCCGCGGGCUCCGAGGAGUCGGCCGAGCUGCUCCCGCGCCCUGGCCGGACGUUUGAAACUAUUGCUUUGCUGAAAACAUCUGACUGCCAGGCUAGGAUGUGACACUUAAGGGACUUACCAAUUUGGGAUUCUUCCAGGAGCUGAAAACUGAUUGCAAAUAUGAAACAGAUUUCACUACAGGACUUGAACCCUACAUUAAAAAACAACAAGCUCCCCAAAAUAAUUGAAAAAGAUCUUCACCAAAGAGUAGCUGCAAUGUGAAUGGCAGGAUAUGAAGCAAGUAAGAGAUGGUGAAAAGAUUAUCUUAAGCUUGGAAUUAAGUGAUGAAAGGGACCUUCGAAAUUAUCAACUCUAAAUACUUCUUUACAGGAAAAUUGAAAGCAGUUAAGAACCUGCCCCCUACCGUGGAGUUCUUGGUGCCGUGAGUUGGAGUUCUUGGUGCCUGGGUGCGUCCCCAAGG